GUUUGAUCCUGGCUCAGGACGAACGCUGGCGGCGUGCUUAACACAUGCAAGUCGAACGAUGAAGCCUCGCUUGCGGGGUGGAUUAGUGGCGAACGGGUGAGUAAUACGUGAGUAACCUGCCCCCUUCUUUGGGAUAAGCCUUGGAAACGGGGUCUAAUACCGGAUACUCCUGGAUGAUCGCAUGAUUGUUUGGGGAAAGUUUUGUCGGUGGGGGAUGGGCUCGCGGCCUAUCAGCUUGUUGGUGGGGUGAUGGCCUACCAAGGCGUCGACGGGUAGCCGGCCUGAGAGGGUGACCGGCCACACUGGGACAUAUACGGCCCAGACUCCUACGGGAGGCAGCAGUGGGGGAUAUUGCACAAUGGGCGCAAGCCUGAUGCAGCGACGCCGCGUGAGGGAUGACGGCUUCGGGUUGUAACCUCUUCGCUACCGAACAAGGCUCCGACUAUUGGUGGGGUUGGAGGGUAGGUGGAGUAAGAAGACGCCGGCUAACUACGUGCCAGC
rnacentral:rRNA from 1 species